GUUUCUGAUUUAUUUAGCUUUACGUUAUUUUUCGGUCUAAUUACUUCUAAAUUUGCUGAUUACAUUUGAGAAUCGUUUUUGAAUUCCCUAAUUCAAGUUAUUUAGGGUUUUGAGUUCAAUCAAUUUUUCUAUUUUUGAUGGUUAAGUUUUUGAUUGUAUCUGAUUUUCUUAUUCAACACGGGGAUGUCCAUGGAGCUAAUUCUGUCAAAGUUGACCAGGAGCUUCUUCGAUCUCAUCCUUGUAUCCCUCUUUCUCUUUACUCUCAAUUUAAUUGUGGUUGAUGUUAUGGAAGACUUGAAAGUGUUGUUUUGUGGAGAAUUUUUUAUUUGGAUGUUGAAUUUUUACUGUGGUGGAUAUUGGAUUAUGAGCCAGCAAUUUCAGUCUAGUGAUUUGGUUUAUUCUCGUAUUCAACCUGAUUGUCGUUGGUUUGAAUAUGUGGGACAUGAAACCAGACACAGAUUUAUAAACAGAGCUUCCUGAUGACUAUACAGCCGAGACCAUAUUAGCAGACUUCGCAAGGGCUCCAUCCCUAGGAAAUAAGUCUUCAUAUGGUCAUAACCUGAGUUCAGUGAUAGACGGUGCCAACAGUUUUGGAUGCUGGACCCCAGUUGAUUGGGUGAAAAUGAAUGUCAGAGAAAGUAAAGAUAGAUUUGAGGUUUAUGCCUUAGUUCCCGGGCUUCUUCGAGAGGAGGUCGUGUUUUUGUUUUGCGAGCACAAGGUGCAUGGCCUCGCCAGGCUGCUACUGCAGCUGCUGCCUCGCCAGGCUGCUACUGCAGCUUCAACUGCUGUUUUGUUUAUUUUGCUUCAUCUGACUUUGCUUUGGUUUGUUCACGUGGGAUAAAGGUCAAGGCUGACGGAGAUGAGUCAUCUCCUUAUGUUGAAUGCUGCUAUGCUCCUGCUGCUAUUCUGCUCUACGUUACUGCUAUUCUGCUCUUGCUGCUGCUAAUAUUAUUACAGUCGGUCUGUUUACAGUGUUUAACUAUGUUUUGUAACUUUUUUUUUUCAAUGAAAAUUGUAAUAUUACAGCUUUGUAUUAAUGAAAAUUAUAAGUUUAUAUA